rnacentral:lncRNA from 1 species
CGCCAUUGUUGCAGUCCCAUAAACAAGAACGCAGAGUGGAAGCUAGAAGAAGAAGGGAGGUGAAUUUUUGGGCCAAUUUUUUAAAAAAAUUUCUAGCCUGCAAGACCUUUUUGUUGGGCCUUUUUUUUUGUUUUUAAAUAAGCCCAUUUUCAUGGUAUAUCUUAUUUGGUGAAAUGAUUUCCCGGAAACCCAAUCAGAUAAUCAACCCUAUCCCUAUGUUUCUCUCUCUCUGUCUCUCGCUACCGCCCUUGAGGCCAUCGAUUUGACGACACCAAGUUGUCUUCAACCUUGUCCUUGUGAGUUGUACUUGCUGCCGCUGAGUCGCCAACGCCGGGCCUUCACUCUCCGCCACCGCUGAUGUAGCCUGUAAGCCUUUCUGUCUCUGUUUUUUUUUAGUUCAUUUUUUAUGCCAUUUUUAUUGGGGAAUAAUUUAUGAUUUUGAUUUAUGCUUUAUGAUUGUGAGCUUGCUGAGGUUUAUAAUUUAUGAUUUCUUAUAGUCAUUAUAAAAUAUGGAGAUUUAAGUCACUGAACAUUGAUUCUGUGAAAAUUUUUGGAUGAUUUUCUGUAAAUUUUUGGAGGCUUGGUAUUUUAAUACUUGUGGAUGAUUCUUGUUGAAAUUAUGCCCAUGUAUUAUGAAUUUUUAAUAACCGAUGACUCUUCCAGCUGCUUUGAUUGGCACUGCCAUUAGCAUAAUUGGGAACUAGAGUGAGAAAUAGUAACAACAGCCAGAGAAGUAGGGACUAAAAAGCGGACUAAAAAAAUCACUGCAGUCGAU